rnacentral:rRNA from 1 species
UACGUAGGGGGCAAGCGUUGUCCGGAUUUAUUGGGCGUAAAGAGCGUGUAGGCGGCCACACAGGUCUGCUGUGAAAACUCGAGGCUCAACCUCGAGCUGUCGGUGGAAACCGUGUGGCUAGAGUCCGGAAGAGGAGAGUGGAAUUCCCGGUGUAGCGGUGAAAUUCGUAGAUAUCGGGAGGAACACCUGUGGCGAAGGCGGCCAUCUGGACGGUCACUGACACUGAGACGCGAAAGCGUGGGUAGCAAACAGG